CUGCAUGUUUUGUACCUGGGCCAUUGGUGGCCUCUCUUUUACUGUAGAGUGGGCAAGUACAAACAUGCUAGAUUAACAUUUGGAGUUAACAGGGCCAGCAGUCUCUCAAGGUCAGACUGAAGUGGUAGUAUAAUACUCAAACAUUU
rnacentral:snoRNA from 1 species